ACGACCGCAGCUCAGCUGGCGAGAGUGCCGGAGGUUGCGGGUUCAAAUCCCGCCGGCCGUC
rnacentral:tRNA from 1 species